rnacentral:lncRNA from 1 species
GACUUACAGCCUCAUCUCUUUCCUGAAGAGCCGCUGUCAUAGAGGACAGCUGCUUUAAAACUUCCACACAACGAACUUCCACCUCAGCUGUCCUCUCAUCAGACUCCUGGAGAACCCUGCGAGUACGAGACAACUCUGCUUCCAGGGAUUUGGUGUGCUCUGCUGCCUCAGCCGCUCUGCCUUCAGCUCUUUUAAGGGCC